rnacentral:rRNA from 1 species
ACAGAGAAUAUCGCCCUCGCGGGUGACUCUCCAACCCUGUGUUAUUGUACCUUUGUUGCUUUGGCGAGCCGCCUCGGCCACCGGCUCACGCUGGUGAGUGCUCGCCAGAGAACCCCAAAUUCUGAAUUAUUAGUGUCGUCUGAGUACUAUAUAAUAGUUAAAACUUUCAACAACGGAUCUCUUGGUUCUGGCAUCGAUGAAGAACGCAGCGAAAUGCGAUAAGUAAUGUGAAUUGCAGAAUUCAGUGAAUCAUCGAAUCUUUGAACGCACAUUGCGCCCUGUGGUAUUCCGCAGGGCAUGCCUGUUCGAGCGUCAGUACAACACUCAAGCCUAGCUUGGUCUUGAGCCAUGUCCGUAAGGGCCGGCUUUAAAAACAGUGGCGGCGCCAUCUGGCUCUAAGCGUAGUAAUACUCCUCGCUAUUGAGUCCCGGUGGACGCUGGCCAGCAACCCCCAACUUUCUAAGUCUGACCUCGGAUCAGGUAGGGAUACCCGCUGAACUUAA